rnacentral:tRNA from 1 species
CAGGAUGUGGCUCAACACAGAUAAAGCAUCUCCCUUACACUGAGAAGAUAUCCGUGCAAACCGGAUCGUCCUGA